CUGAGCCCGGCGGCCGUCGCUGCGUACGCACAGGGCGGGGUGUGCGCACAUAGCGCGCACGGCAGCCGCGGCCUUGCGCGCCGUCGGGCUCGGGCGCCGGCUGCCGCGGGGCCGCUGGUCACGGGGCUGGUGGUGACCCCUUGGCCCCGCCGGGGGAAGCGCGCCAGCGACAGUGUGGCACCUGGAACUGGACACCAUAUUCCACCUGAGGCCUCACCAGUGCCAGGUAGAGCUAGACAAUUACCUCCCAUGCACCUUACGUACCACACUCCACAUUCCCACGAGAAUCGGGACAAGUGAUGCAGGAAGUGCGGCUACGCCAACAAGACACUACCCCACGUCUUGUGUACCUGCAAGCCCCAUUCCAGAGCCUGGCAGCUGCGACACAAUGCCAUCCAAGAUCGCCUGGGCAGAGCCAUCCUGCCACCUGUGGGGAAGACAGCCAUGAACUCCGCCAUCCCGGAAACCAACAGCCAACUGUGACCAGACAUCAUCAUCACCAGCGAGGACCAGAAGAAGAUCAUCAUGGUGGACAUCACAGUGCCCUUCGAAAACAGUACUCUGGCUUUCCACGAUGCCCGAUCUUGAAAACUGGAGAAAUAUGCCCCUCUGGCCGACACCCUGAGAGUUAGGGGCUAUGAGGUCCAAACUCACACGGUGAUCAUCGGAGCCCUGGGUGCAUGGGACCCCGGUAAUGAGCGAGUGCUGAGAGAAUGUGGCGUUGGUCAACGCUACACUUGGCUAAUGUGCAACUCAUGGUGUCAGACGCCAUCAGGUGGUCGAGGGACAUCUACAUAGAACACAUUGUGACAGGUUGGAUCACAGAAACCCCCUUGGGGCUGCCAACUGAUGUGCCAAGACUAUUUCUGCCCCUGCUUUCCCUGCCCUCCUAGCUUGGGACUUCAGUGUCCUGCCUGGUUUGAGCCAGACCCGCUAGCCUGCUGCAAACUCAGACCCGGGUCUGAACCACGUCCCCUAACAGCUGUAGGCUUAAUUGAAAGCAGCUUAAGAAGUGUUCCUGUCUUUAACAUUCAGAUGCUCAACUCCCAAUGGGGUCCAAACCCCAAAUAAAUCCGUUUUACCCUGUAUAAAGCUUAUACAGGGUAAAUUCAUAAAUUGUUCGCCCUCUAUAACACUGAUAGAGAAGUAUGCACAGCUGUUUGCCCCCCCCCCAAGUAUUAAUACAUACUCUGGGUUAAUUAAUAGUUAAAAAGCGAUUUUAUUAAAUACAGAAAGUAGGAUUUAAGUGGUUCUAAGUAGUAACAGACAGAACAAAGUGAAUUACCAAGCAAAAUAAAAUAGAACAUGCAAGUCUAUGUCUAAUACAGUAAGAAAACUGAAUGCAAAUAAAAACCUCACCCUCAGAGGAAUUCCAGUAAGCUUCCUUUUACAGACUAGUCUCCUUCUAGUCUGGGUCCAGCAAUCACUCACAACCCCUAUAGUUACUGUCCUUUGUUCCAGUUUCUUUCAGGUAUCCUUGGGAGUGGAGAGGCUAUCUCUUGAGCCAGCUGAAGACAAAAUGGAGGGGUCUCCCAUGGGCUUAAAUAGACUUUCUCAUGUGGGUGGAGACCCCCUCCUCUCUCCUAUGUAAAAUCCAGCUCCAAGAUGGAGUUUUGGAGUCACCUGGGCAAGUCACAUGUCCAUGCAUGACUCAGUUUUUACAGGCAGCAGCCAUUGUUCACAUGCUACCUUGAACGUCUUCAUGUAGACUUCUUGUGUGGAUUGAAGCCUUUCAAGAUCCAUUGUCUGUUACGUGCUUCUUGAUUGGGCACUUAACUUGCAAAUUCCUUUGUAAAGAAGCUGACUAAAUGCCUUACUAAGGCUAUUUAAAAUCAAACAUGUAUACAGCCAAUAUUCAUAACUUCGAAUACAAUAAUGACACAUGCAUACAAAUAGGAUGAAUAAAUUCAGUAGACCAUAACCUUUACAGAGAUAUGUUAAAUGGCAUAUGUAGCAUAAAACAUAUUCCAGUUAUGUCAUAUAUACAUUCAUAAGCAUAUUUCCAUAUAGCGUUAUGGGGUGCACCGUCACACACAUCACUGGCCAUUGGCAAUACUAGGAGGGAUGACCUGGGGUGCUGAUGAGAAGCACAGUCAGGAAAGUAACUCAAAUACUUUCCUGAUGGACUGUCUUUUUUCUCUAAAUGGACAACUUAUCCUAAAUUCUCAAUUUCUGAGGCACAAUCUUCACUCAUUGAUAUAUUUUGCUUUCCACCACCAACUCUGUGUAUAACUUUUUUCAUGAGUAAUGUACCCGAAUGCAUGGAAGCUAGAUAUCUAAACUGUAUUAUUAAAUUCAUUCACCCAAAUUUGGGUUAUUGCUGAUUAUGCACUAUGUGUAUCUUAUGACUUUAAAAACAAACUUUUUUAUUUGUGGGUAAUCUAAGCACUAUAACCAGAUGUACAGACACUCUUUUCUCAACCUAUGUAUUAUAUAAUUUUUUUAACAUUAGCUUUAAUAGCAAUUUUAAAUCUGUUUCUCUGGGGUCAGAGGCCCGCAGCUGACUGGCUGGCAAAUUAGCCUCACCCACUGCACCUGGGAACAGACCUACAACUUAACUGGCUGAUCCUCAUAAAAGAAGGAGCAGAAUAUAGAAGAGAGGGCUGUAAUACUUGCUGGAGCAAAUUCUGGGAGGAGCAGCUCCAAGAAACAGAAGGGAAAGUGGGGAAAGUCCUGUUAUCACAAAAAAGGCUUUGAGGGCACAACAAGAGACAUGAGUUGGAUCACAUAGCUGUCUGGGGUGGAAUGAAUGGAUCAUUAAAGGACUGGCUGAAACUGACCCAUAUUAAUGGAGAAUCUGCAAAGACAAUGGGAACCCCGUAACCAAGACGUUCAUACCUGGCAACCAGCAGUAGCUGAGAGAAGCAGGGAAGCAGAGCAAGGGCUCCAGCUCAAGAACAAAGGAGAAAGGUGUCAGGUGGCUGGAGAAAGGGUUGGCUUUUGGAAGAGACAGCAGCUCUCACAUGGGACUGACAGAGAUGAAGAGCCAGAGCCAGAAAUAGAUUCCAUAGCAACUUGGCUGGCUAAUUGCACUGGCUUGGCCAGAAUAAAAUACUGUAUGUCUUAGCCUUUGUCUCUGUUUACCUAAAGACUUCUGAUGCUGUGUCCCAGUUGACACACACAUCCUACUCUACUUUGAAAAGGCACCUUGGUGUCACUGAAAAUACUUGCUGAGGAGCAUUUUUGGUCCUUGAGGAUUGUAGAAGUCUCUGACCAGGAACCUACCUUAGCUGGACUUGCUGGGAAGAGGUCACUGUGUGAAGUAGGAGGGCUAGAGUUGAGAGGCUCAGGGCUUGUCUACACUACCAGCCGGAUUGACGGCCAGCCAUCGAUCCAGUGGGGGUUGAUUUAUCGUGUCUAGUAUAGAUGCGCUUCUCAUUGAGGUGAAAUACUGGAGUCAACACUAGCGUGAUGGGCGGUUGAUUUAUCGCUAGGGGAAUUGAUGGGAGAGUGUCUCCUGUUGACACCCUGCAGUGAAGACACUGCAGUAAGUAGAUCUAAGUACAUCAACUUCAGCUCUGUGAAUAAUGUAGCUGAAGUUGCGUAACUAGGAUCAAUUUCUCCCCCCACCCCGUAGUGUAGACCAGCCCUCAGUCUCCGUAUUGAGACCAAAUGGCCUAUCCUUAAGAAAGAGUGAAACCACUUGGGAAGGAGGGAUGCCACACAAAGCUCUUCCUCGAAGGGACUAUUUUAAAGCUGGAGCAUAGUACAGAUCCUGUGGAUCUGUGACACCUUCUUAACUUGAAAAGGUCAUUGUCUUGACCCACUGCUUCAAAUAGUCCUUUGAAGCUCAUGACACUUCCCAUGGUUUUAGACGUUAAAUACGAUCCCACAAUAAUACAUAGACAUUUGCAUUGUUAGUACAGUGAACUCCGAAGAUACUUAGACAAACCUUGAAUUAAGUGUAGGUCAGGAAAUUGCCAGAUCUGUCACAACCAUAUAGCCUUGUCACACAGUGUAAAUCUUUCUUCUCUGUUCAAAUGUCAGGUCAAGGCAAACAGAUGAAAUGCUAUCUCAAGGCAAAGUAUUUAUGAAUACUAAUAUUAUAAAAUUGGAGAUUAGUCUAAGAUCCAAUUGGGAUGUAUACGUUCCCGGAGUUCAGGAGUGUUGAGAUGCAAGGUUUUGUUUCAUGCUCCUCUGUCUCCAUUAUUAUUUAUCUUUAGCCUUCCACUCAUAGCCAUAUAAGUAUAUAUUGUAUUGCAUAUGUAUGUAUUAAAAAAAACAAACAAGCUAUGUAAUAAACAUUGACUCAUUCCUUGAU